rfam:Brachypodium distachyon strain Bd21 chromosome 4, whole genome shotgun sequence.
CAAGUACUCCCUCCAUCCAUCAAAGGAUAUCUCAAGUUUUUCAAAAUUUGACUGAUCUAGACAUAACUUAGUGUAUAGAUACAUUCAAAUUUAAUCAAAGUUAAGACAUCUUUUGUUGGACGGAGAGAGUAGUAC